CAAGUCACCACCACCACCAUACGUCUACUUAUCUCCACCACCACCAGUGAAGUCACCACCACCACCAUACGUCUACUCAUCUCCACCUCCACCAGUCAAGUCUCCCCCACCACCAUAUGUCUACUCAUCUCCACCACCACCAGUACAUUCACCACCCCCACCAUACGUCUACUCGUCUCCACCCCCACCAUCACCAUCACCUCCUCCACCAUACCUCUACCAAUCACCACCUCCACCAGAGAAAUCUCCUCCACUUCCAUAUUACCUCUACGCAUCCCCACCACCCCCAAUCUACUAGUAAGCUUGAACAGUGGGUUUCCUUUGCUUCUUAAAUGUUGUCAUCUGUUUGCUAGUGCAAUAAGGAAAGUCACCUCCAUGAAACUCAUGGAGAUCAUGAUUCAAGCUUUGGGAUUACAAGUUCUGAAUAAAGGUCUUGGUGAAAUCGAGAGUUCAAAUCUUCAAAUGUCAGACCAAAUGAUUUCUACUACUUCUUUAGUUACAUUCUUACACAUUUUGUUAUUGGUUUAUUCAAGUAAAAGUAGGAAUCAGCUACGGAAGAAGAAAGAAAUGUAGUUGUGAGGGAGGCUUGGGUUUGUGACUUAUUGUUUUAGAGAGUUUUUCUAGUAGAGGUGUUUUUCUUUUUCUAUUUAAUUUUCCAUAUUUUGUUGUAUAAAUCAGGAUAUUUAUUUGUUAGGAUUUCUUUGUGCUUUAUGCACCUUCAUGUUUCGAAUAAAAUCAUGGUUUUUUAUUCUAUCUAUUCAACUCUA